GGCCGCCUGGCGAAAUGGCAUCGCGUCUGACUACGAUGCGCAGCAGCUCACAGAGCAGAUAAUCAGGAGAUUGCAGGUUCGACCCCUGCGGUGGUCA